rnacentral:rRNA from 1 species
CCUACGGGAGGCAGCAGUGGGGGAUAUUGCACAAUGGGGGGAACCCUGAUGCAGCGACGCCGCGUGGGUGAAGAAGCGCCUCGGCGCGUAAAGCCCUGUCAGCAGGGAAGAAAAUGACGGUACCUGAAGAAGAAGCCCCGGCUAACUACGUGCCAGCAGCCGCGGUAAUACGUAGGGGGCAAGCGUUAUCCGGAUUUACUGGGUGUAAAGGGGGCGCAGACGGCGAUGCAAGCCAGGAGUGAAAGCCCGGGGCCCAACCCCGGGACUGCUCUUGGAACUGCGUGGCUGGAGUGCAGGAGGGGCAGGCGGAAUUCCUGGUGUAGCGGUGAAAUGCGUAGAUAUCAGGAGGAACACCGGUGGCGAAGGCGGCCUGCUGGACUGCAACUGACGUUGAGGCCCGAAAGCGUGGGGAGCAAACAGGAUUAGAUACCCCAGUAGUC